GAAGAGGAAGUCGGGACUGGGGUGCGGGUGGGUGCGCCUAGGGCCGCUGGGCUCGUUGCCUCCGCCGCCGCCGCCGCCUCUGCGGCCGCGUCAGAACUGAAGGGAGGAAGGGGAGGAGCCGAGUGGAGCCCGAGCGGCAGCCCGAUCUCACCCCGACCCGAGGGCGGCACAGAGGGCUGGCUCUCUAGUGGUUUCCUUCGGGGCAGGUGGUGACUGCUCCUUGGGGAGCCCGGAGGAGGGAGGCCCGGGCCGCGCGGCCACGCUCGGGCGCGCACCCCCUGAAGGUGAGGCCUCGGGCCCCAAACAGGCCUUGGAGGAGCUGUCCCACUGCCCGAUCCGCGCGCUGCACCUGUUCCAGGGAGCGAGCGCCCCACCCUUCCGCGGUGUGCGGCGCGCCCCAGCGCCCGAGAACGCGGAGUCGGCCCGAGUAGAUGUGUAGUGAGUGAAUGAAUGAAUGAACGAAUGAACGAAACGAACGAACGAAGGCGCGAACACUCGCGGAGCUCAGGGGAGUGGACGGAGUGCUGGCGCUUUGCUAACUACCCAGCAUUGUAACGAUGGGAGACUCACAGAGAAUCAGACCAUCAAAACACAUGGCUACAAAACAAAUCUUUUAUGGUUUUCCCUGUCUUCCUGAUUUCCUGAUGGAAAUUGAAGGAAUAAGAUGCACAGAUUUAGGGGAUUUUGUGAGGCUGGGCACCUCAGAUUUUAGUUCUGAGAGGUUUUUAUAAUAUUUUUCUCCCAUUGGUUUUAGAGAGAAGAGAGAGAGAGAGAAGCAUCGAUUGGUUGCCUCCCAUACACGCCCUGAGCCUGACCCCGGAUCCAACACCAUCUAUGAACCCCCCACCUAGGUAAGUGCCCUGACCAGAAUUGAACCUGCCACCUUCCGGUGUACUGGACAAUGCUCCAACCAACUGAGCCACACCGGCCAGGGCAGUUCUGUGGGUUUUGAAUAAAAAGGGUGCAACCUAGUCAAGUACACCUCAAGGAAAGUGUGUACCAGGUGGACUUUUUCAGCAGCCUGAUCUUAGAACCGUAGUGCUGAAGACAGAAUGGCACCCCGGAGAGCCCUCCGCCACCCACCACCUACAACCUACAUCAAAAGAACCAGCUGCACUAAACUUACUGGAAAAGAUCCACCCACCUCACCACCCAGCAUGAUAACCAGAGGAAACAGCUGGAACUGGCGACUGGAAAAGAGGAAGUUCAUACAUAGCCAACUUGGUCUGCAACUUUUUAGUUCUUUUAUUUUUUUAUUUUUAUUGAUUAAUCCAAAGGACAAAACAGCUAGUUUUCAAAAUUCAAAAAACUUUGGAGUUUUAGGUAAUAAUUGUUUUCCUGGUCCAUCAAUUUGUUUCUGAUAGAGAUUUGCUUUCUAUGUUAAAAUAUGACAACGGGGUAUUUUUCUCCUAUACUUGAAAGUGAGCUCUUAUGGGGAAUUAAUCAGUGUUUUAUUAGCCCACAUCAGUGGUUUUACUAUUAAAGAUUUCUUAAGUAAAUUGGCAAAAUUUCUUUCUUCAAAUACCAUUUACAGUAUUUGGUUUCUUUUAGAAUUUUUAUUGUGAAAUAUACAUUACAAUGCAUAAAGCAGUUACUCAGUAUAAUGAGUAACUAUAAAGUAAACCUUCAUGUGACCAACCAGAUAAAGAAAUGGAACAUUGCCAGCACCCCAAAAUCCCCCUGUUGACCUUCCUGAACACAACUCAUCCCCUCUUUUUCAGAGGUAACCCUUAUUCUAUCUUCUGUGAUAAGUAUUUCCUUGCUUUUCUCUAUUGUUUUAUCACAAACAUGCAUCCCUAAACAAUAUAUCAUUUGGUUUUGUCCUUUCUUUUGAACUUUAUGAAAUGGAAAACCCUAAUAUGUAAUCUAUUAUUCUGGUACUUACCGCUUUAGCUCAACAUUGUUUUUAAUCCAUAUGUUGUUCAGGUUGUUCAUAUAGCUUUAAUUUGUUCAUUUUAAUUGCUGAAUAUUACAGUGUUCCAUUGUAGUAUAUGCCAUGAUUUACUUAACCAUUCUAUUGUUGAUAGAUAUCUGGAUUGUUUCUAGUUUGGAAGGAACUGCUAUACCUGCUGCUGUGAACAUUCUUCCCAUGUAUUCUAUCAUGCCUAUAUCAGUUUCUGUAUAGUAUAUACCUGGAAGUGGAUGUGCAUAUCAUAAACUUGAAUAAAUAAUGCCAAGCUGUU